rnacentral:lncRNA from 1 species
UUUGUCUUUCUCUUUGUUAGUUUAACUUCUCUUUCUCUCCACUUACUGGCCAUAGGGAUGCUGUGUUCUUACACUUUUUUUUUUUUUUUUUUUUUUUGAGACGGACUCUCGCUCUGUCACCCAGGCUAGAAUGCAGUGGCGUGAUCUUGGCUCACUGCAAUCUCUGCUUCCUGGGUUUAAGCAAUUCUCUUGCCUCAGCCUUCCCAGUAGCUGGGAUUACAGGCAUGCGCCACCAGGCCCAGCUAAUUAUUUUUUGUAUUUUUAGUAGAGACGGGGUUUCACCUGCUGGCCAGGCUGGUCCUGUACCACAGCUGUCUUAAACUCUUCUGAAAUUAUUAUUCAUCUAGAUCAGCAGAGAGAAUUAUCAUAAAUGUACUAGCUCAGAGAAAAUUAUGAUGUACUUACCAUACAUGGGAGGACAUGCUUUUAUAUUUCAAGGAGUCAGAGGCCUAUGUUAGGUACUUUUUAAACAAUAGAGUAAACGUGGAAAAUACUGUAUUAAAUCUCUGGUUAUAGAUAAUAACCACUACACACACUCACUUUGAGGUAGAUCCUGGGCAGUUCAAUCAUUUCUUUCAUGUGGAUAUUGUAAUCAUGUGCGUUCAUUCAGUCAGCUCCAACAGUGUCUUAAGAAGGUCAAGGCUACUUAUCUAGAUAUUAUAUGUCCAUUCUCCCUGGAUAGAGGAUCUAUUUUAUGAUAAAAGUUUGCUAUUUUCAUCCCAAUCAAA